rnacentral:lncRNA from 1 species
ACUUAACUUUGUGAAUUAUCAAUGAUUACGUGGUCAAAUGAGAACUGUUAGAUUGGCAUUAUGACCAUAUAGUUGCACACAUACAAAAAUCGUUAGCAUAUAACUUAUAAUAGAGAAUCAACAUAGCAAACAAUUCUUCGAGUAGCUAUAUAGUCACUCACUGAACUAUGAAAAAGAGGUUCAAGACAAUCAUAUCAAAACAGAUAAAUUGUAAUAUUGUGGCUAAUUAAAAAAUAAAGUGGGGAAAAUAUAUUGUUUUGGCGAAAGAGGUGGCGAAAAAAAUAAUUGACCCAGGGGAAACCCUGGGGCUAAAGAUACCAGAUGAACAGCAAACUCAUAAAUGGAAAAUAAACUUACAAUUCCAUGACUAAAACUGAAAAAGACAUGCAUACAAAUAAAAGUACACUAGAAACAACAUAGAAAACUAAAGACUGAGCAACACGAACCCCACCAAAACUUGGGGGUGAUCUCAGGUGCUCCGGAUGGGUAAGCAGAUCCUGCUCUACAAAUGGCAUUUAUUAACAAUGUUUGUACAUGUAGUAUCCAGGUCUUUUUUCUGAAACAUUUAGCUUUUGGAUCAAUUGCUAAUUAAAUGGAUGUUAACACAGCAAGAUUACUAUCCCUUAUUCUAGAUUUUUGUUGCAGUCAAC